UUAAAUUGAAGAGUUUGAUCAUGGCUCAGAUUGAACGCUGGCGGCAGGCCUAACACAUGCAAGUCGAACGGUAACAGGAAGCAGCUUGCUGCUUUGCUGACGAGUGGCGGACGGGUGAGUAAUGUCUGGGAAACUGCCUGAUGGAGGGGGAUAACUACUGGAAACGGUGGCUAAUACCGCAUAACGUCGCAAGACCAAAGAGGGGGACCUUCGGGCCUCUUGCCAUCAGAUGUGCCCAGAUGGGAUUAGCUAGUUGGUGAGGUAACGGCUCACCAAGGCGACGAUCCCUAGCUGGUCUGAGAGGAUGACCAGCCACACUGGAACUGAGACACGGUCCAGACUCCUACGGGAGGCAGCAGUGGGGAAUAUUGCACAAUGGGCGCAAGCCUGAUGCAGCCAUGCCGCGUGUAUGAAGAAGGCCUUCGGGUUGUAAAGUACUUUCAGCGGGGAGGAAGGUGUUGUGGUUAAUAACCGCAGCAAUUGACGUUACCCGCAGAAGAAGCACCGGCUAACUCCGUGCCAGCAGCCGCGGUAAUACGGAGGGUGCAAGCGUUAAUCGGAAUUACUGGGCGUAAAGCGCACGCAGGCGGUCUGUCAAGUCGGAUGUGAAAUCCCCGGGCUCAACCUGGGAACUGCAUUCGAAACUGGCAGGCUUGAGUCUUGUAGAGGGGGGUAGAAUUCCAGGUGUAGCGGUGAAAUGCGUAGAGAUCUGGAGGAAUACCGGUGGCGAAGGCGGACCCCCUGGACAAAGACUGACGCUCAGGUGCGAAAGCGUGGGGAGCAAACAGGAUUAGAUACCCUGGUAGUCCACGCCGUAAACGAUGUCUACUUGGAGGUUGUGCCCUUGAGGCGUGGCUUCCGGAGCUAACGCGUUAAGUAGACCGCCUGGGGAGUACGGCCGCAAGGUUAAAACUCAAAUGAAUUGACGGGGGCCCGCACAAGCGGUGGAGCAUGUGGUUUAAUUCGAUGCAACGCGAAGAACCUUACCUGGUCUUGACAUCCACGGAAGUUUUCAGAGAUGAGAAUGUGCCUUCGGGAACCGUGAGACAGGUGCUGCAUGGCUGUCGUCAGCUCGUGUUGUGAAAUGUUGGGUUAAGUCCCGCAACGAGCGCAACCCUUAUCCUUUGUUGCCAGCGAUUAGGUCGGGAACUCAAAGGAGACUGCCAGUGAUAAACUGGAGGAAGGUGGGGAUGACGUCAAGUCAUCAUGGCCCUUACGACCAGGGCUACACACGUGCUACAAUGGCGCAUACAAAGAGAAGCGACCUCGCGAGAGCAAGCGGACCUCAUAAAGUGCGUCGUAGUCCGGAUUGGAGUCUGCAACUCGACUCCAUGAAGUCGGAAUCGCUAGUAAUCGUGGAUCAGAAUGCCACGGUGAAUACGUUCCCGGGCCUUGUACACACCGCCCGUCACACCAUGGGAGUGGGUUGCAAAAGAAGUAGGUAGCUUAACCUUCGGGAGGGCGCUUACCACUUUGUGAUUCAUGACUGGGGUGAAGUCGUAACAAGGUAACCGUAGGGGAACCUGCGGUUGGAUCACCUCCUUACCUUAAAGAA
rnacentral:rRNA from 1 species